rnacentral:rRNA from 1 species
UACCAGCACCCCGAGUGGUCGGGACGUUUAUUGGGCCUAAAGCAUCCGUAGCCGGUUCUGCGAGUCUUCCGUUAAAUCCACCUGCUUAACAGAUGGGCCGCGGAAGAUACUAUAGAGCUAGGAGGCGGGAGAGGCAAGCGGUACUCGAUGGGUAGGGGUAAAAUCCGUUGAUCCAUUGAAGACCACCAGUGGCGAAGGCGGCUUGCCAGAAUGCGCUCGACGGUGAGGGAUGAAAGCUGGGGGAGCAAACCGG